CGCGCCGGGGACUCCACCGGAAACUUACCCCCAGUGUCCCCAGGUGGUUUCUGGACAGAGUCCUGAGGGGCAUGCCUCCUGCCUGCACCCAGACACUUUAGCUGCGUCCUCCUGCCCGUCACCCCCCCCCCGCGACCUCAGGGCCCCCAUCUUCCAUGUCCAGGGUUCUUCCUCCAGCCCCCAGACACCCCUUCCCUCCCAGAACCUCAGCCCCGGCGCGCCCCGCCCUGCGCCCCAGAGGCCGAGGGGCCCGGCUCCGCCCUGGCGGGCACCGCUCCAGGGGGCCGGGCGCGGGGAGCGUAUAAAGUGGCUGGCGCUGUGCAGGUGGCACCCCGCAGCCCUAACCUCUGCGGGAGGACCUCGCCCCCCACCCCCGCGAGGACUUCGCCGAGGCCAGGGUCGCCGUGACAACCAGCAGCGCGGCCAAUCAACGCCCUGCCGGAGCCCUGCCUGUGGCAGCUCCUUCUGAAGCCCUUCCUCAUCAGCCAGCCCUGAAGUGAACAGUUUUCCUUGGAAAUUUUGUCCCUUGUCUCCCGUCAGGCUAACGCCACUAGUUUUUUGUGUGCCCGUCUUACUGCCUUUCUCAAGGUAAAUCCUGAGAAAAUCAAACUUGUCAUGUAGCUAGUUAAGUGGCAGGAAGGGCCACUGAACCCUUCAAGUCCAAAGACUGCAAGUUUGUCCAUGAAAAAGGACCUGGCAACGAGUGACUUAAUAUUAUUAUGUUGGGUAGUGAAUCUCCCAUUUACCUUUUCCCUCUGGCAAAGCAGCGCGCCCGCUCUGUUGACUGCAAAUGAACGUUCUGCUCUGUGCACAGAACCUUUGACCAUUUUCCUCCUGCGUUGCUUUCAGGAAUCAAUCUUUUCUAGAUAGUCAACUUUGUUAGUUAUAUUUCUUGCAAAUAUGUCCUUCCUGUUUGUGUCUUGUCUCACAUGGCUUAUGUUUGAAGGUAUCAGGCAUCCAAUAACAAGUAGCUGAUGAGCUCCUUGAAAGCAAGGGAUAGAUACCCUGAUUUUCUCAUUUUAGGUGAAGUGUCUUUAUAUUUUACUACUUAGGAAAUUUUUUUUUUUUUAAAGAUUUGAUUUAUUUAUUUGAGAGAGAGAGAGAGAACGAGCAGGGGGAAGGACAGAGGGAGAAGCUGACUCCCCAGCUGAGCAGGGACGCCCCGACGUGGGGCUCAAUCCCAAGACUCUGAGAUCACGACCCGAGCCAAAGGCAGCCGCUUAACCGACUGAGCCAACCAGGCGCCCCAGAAAAUGCUUGUUAAUACUGAUAAGAAGUAAAAAAACCCCAAACCACUUUGUAUCUAUAUAUAGCUAGGAAGCCAAGAGACUAAAACCCGACAAAGCAGUAUUCAGUAAACAUUGAUAUAACUAAUGCAAAGGUAAGUCAGAGAAAAUGCUCGUCCGAACUUAAUACUCACAUUUCUCCUCAGAGUGGGAA
rnacentral:lncRNA from 1 species